AAAUGACAGCUAUGCGUGAAGAUCUCCAGAAAGGGCAGGAAUACACAAAUUGUCUUUUUCAGCUGCUCAGAGAAGACCUGAACAAGGAACAGGGAAAGACAGAAAAGAAAAAUACCCCAAAUCCUCAGGGAUCCGGGAGUGAGGAGACCCUUCUGCAGUUCUGCAAACAAAUGAAAACUAUGUGUGAAGAUCUCCAGAAAGGGCAGGAAUCCACAAAGCAGGAUAUUCAGCUGCUCAGAGCAGACCUGAACAAAGAACUAGACAGGAAAAUGAAGAAAAUGGCAAAGGCCCAGGAAUCCAAGAUGGACAAGAAACUCCAGCAGCUCUUCCAGAGAAUUCUGGAACGUGAAUUACAUGGGAUGCAGCACAUCCUUCAGCUCCCCAGAGCAGAAAUGGAGAUAGAACAAGGUGUGCUGAUAGAAAGUGCAUCAGAAGAUGAGGGCACUGAUGUAGAUGCAUAGACAACUCCUGAGCAGGUGAAGCAUUGAUCAACAAAAUUAGUCUGGCUCUCAUUACAUUUCUCUUGAGCUUGGCCCCCCACCCCCUGCACUCCCUGGGCUCGCUGUGUUGGGAAGUGCUCAUGCUGCCAGAAGACAGACAAUUGUUAGGGCUUUUCUCCCUCCUGUGAGCUGGUUCCUCCUGUGCCAGGGCAGAUCCAUCCACUGCCCGGUUUCAACAAGUGAAAGCAACAGCAGCCAAAGUGCAACCCAGAGCAGAGCUGAAUUACCCAGCGAGCUCUACACAAAAUCUCAGGCAGAGUCCUGGGAAUCCUGGAUUUUAAGUGGUUUAACAUUUUGUGUGUGUGAAGAAUCUGGGAUGUACAGCAGUGGGGAACCAUUUCACCCGGAGAAUGAAGUGUUCAGUUGCAAUCCUGAUUUUUCUGUGACAUGUUUACUACACUCGCAUUACCUGUCUUCUUUCCUGCUUCUGUUUUUAGUUAAUGUGUACAGCACAAGUGUAGAAUUAGCAUGUUCCUCCUGAGGCCGGGGCAACACCUGUCUUCCAAGGGUGCCUGUGCCCUGCGCAGGCAGAGGAGUUCCCUUAGAGUAAGAGAACCACCACUGUGCCCCGCUAGUUGGGCACCAUCUGUCACAGUCGCAGGGGAGAGAAGCCGCGACAGCCGGGGGUUCGUGCAGAGUGGUAGCUCGAAGCUAUUGCAGCCUUAUUAGGGUGUGCCACCCCUAUUUAUAGGGCGGCAGGAGAAGGUUCCAGAAACCAGGGAGGAGCAUAGGACAGGCAGGGACAUGGACCAGUCAGAAGGGAAAGGAGGGAAUAAGGGAGAAAUAGGAGCCAAUAAGGAAAACAUCUGCAAUGCAGCAGAUUGCAGCCAGUCAGAAAAUAGGUAAUAAACAUGAGGAGAAAACUGUGAAAACA
rnacentral:lncRNA from 1 species